rnacentral:siRNA from 1 species
CUUCAUUCUGUUCCAUCCCAU